UGAGACAUGUCUCACUGAUUUAGGACUACGAUUGCACAAGAAAAGAGUAGAAAAAUUAAUGAAUGACUUUUGGGGUUUGGAGGGAAAAAGACAAUUACAACACAAAACUCAACUCAAAAACUGUGAUCAAGUGAAGUAUUCAUUGCCACUUCCCUCCAUCACAUUCAUCUUUUCACAUUCUCUCAGCCUUCAUUGUUGAGGCUUUGCUUAUGGAAGGGAUGAAGCUUGAAAGGUGGCUCACAAGUGUUUUGUUCCUCAUUGUUGCCACAGUGAGCAAUGCAUUAGGUGCAUUUGUGGGGGUAAACAUUGGCACUGAUGUUACUGAUCUUCCAUCUGCUUCAAAUCUGGUUGCUAUUCUGAAAGCACAUCAAAUUACACACGUGCGUCUGUAUGAUGCCAACGAACACAUGC